rnacentral:rRNA from 1 species
AUCGAACCUGGAGAUAGCUGGUUCUCUCCGAAAUAGCUUUAGGGCUAGCCUCAAGUGAUGAUUAUUGGAGGUAGAGCACUGUUUGGACGAGGGGCCCCUCUCGGGUUACCGAAUUCAGACAAACUCCGAAUGCCAAUUAAUUUAACUUGGGAGUCAGAACAUGGGUGAUAAGGUCCGUGUUCGAAAGGGAAACAGCCCAGACCACCAGCUAAGGUCCCAAAAUAUAUGUUAAGUGGAAAAGGAUGUGGCGUUGCCCAGACAACUAGGAUGUUGGCUUAGAAGCAGCCAUCAUUUAAAGAGUGCGUAAUAGCUCACUAGUCGAGUGACACUGCGCCGAAAAUGUACCGGGGCUAAACAUAUUACCGAAGCUGUGGAUUGUCCUUUGGACAAUGGUAGGAGAGCGUUCUAAGGGCGUUGAAGCAUGAUCGUAAGGACAUGUGGAGCGCUUAGAAGUGAGAAUGCCGGUGUGAGUAGCGAAAGACGGGUGAGAAUCCCGUCCACCGAUUGACUAAGGUUUCCAGAGGAAGGCUCGUCCGCUCUGGGUUAGUCGGGUCCUAAGCUGAGGCCGACAGGCGUAGGCGAUGGAUAACAGGUUGAUAUUCCUGUACCACCUAUAAUCGUUUUAAUCGAUGGGGGGACGCAGUAGGAUAGGCGAAGCGUGCGAUUGGAUUGCACGUCUAAGCAGUAAGGCU